AAGGUUUUAAGUUAGUAAACUAGGGGCCUUCAAAGCCCCCAUCAGAAGGGCACCUUCUAAACCUUA
rnacentral:tRNA from 1 species